CAGGAAGUAACCUCCCCCAACGACCAUGGUAACUUCAAGACAAAGAAACUGAACUGAACUGAAUCUACUGAAGGAGCAGUGGGCUGCCAGAUGUAUGGCGCCCGGGGAGCAGUAUAGGGAACGGUGCCUUGCUCAGGGAAGCCUCGGGACUUGAACUGGUGACCUUCCAGUUCAAAAGUCAAGUACCUAUGGACUUUGCUAACACCGCCUUGAAAGCAGGAAAACAGCCACAAUAAAACCGAGUCUUGUGGACAUCUGUAGUAUUUUUCUGUAUGGUUUCAAAUGUCAUAAAUGGCAGUAAAGAUACAUUUAGCUAAAUAACCAUCAUUAGAUGGCUGGAGCUUUGUCCAGAGGUAUAAAGCAACGCAAACAUUAAUUAGAUUAGUUUACAUCACUUUUUCUCUCUGCCAAAAUGUUUUUUUGUUUUUGUUUGGGAUGGUGGCUGGUUGGUCGCUUGCCAAGUGCUUAGGCCAUCUAUGUGUUCCUUUCUACUUACCAAAGGCAUUAACUUUCAACGUGACUGACAAGCCCCCAGGGCAGCUCCUUCAUCCUCUUUUGAUGGUCUCAGAUUGGCCAGUACAGCUCUUCCUCUAGAGAAAGAAGUGAUAUAACUUCAGUUAGUCAGGGCAAAUGCUAGCUUCAGAUAUCUUUGCAUAUUCUUUUAAUCCCAGGUCAAAUUUUUGCUUUGAGCAUGUUUCUCUUAAGUGAUCGUGAUGUUAUGUUAAA